rnacentral:rRNA from 1 species
CUGGAGCUAACGCGUUAAAUCGACCGCCUGGGGAGUACGGCCGCAAGGUUAAAACUCAAAUGAAUUGACGGGGGCCCGCACAAGCGGUGGAGCAUGUGGUUUAAUUCGAUGCAACGCGAAGAACCUUACCUACUCUUGACAUCCAGCGAAUCCUUUAGAGAUAGAGGAGUGCCUUCGGGAACGCUGAGACAGGUGCUGCAUGGCUGUCGUCAGCUCGUGUUGUGAAAUGUUGGGUUAAGUCCCGCAACGAGCGCAACCCUUAUCCUUUGUUGCCAGCAUGUGAUGGUGGGAACUCAAAGGAGACUGCCGGUGAUAAACCGGAGGAAGGUGGGGAUGACGUCAAGUCAUCAUGGCCCUUACGAGUAGGGCUACACACGUGCUACAAUGGCAGAUACAAAGAGAAGCGACCUCGCGAGAGCAAGCGGAACUCAUAAAGUCUGUCGUAGUCCGGAUUGGAGUCUGCAACUCGACUCCAUGAAGUCGGAAUCGCUAGUAAUCGUAGAUCAGAAUGCUACGGUGAAUACGUUCCCGGGCCUUGUACACACCGCCCGUCACACCAUGGGAGUGGGUUGCAAAAGAAGUAGGUAGCUUAACCUUCGGGAGGGCGCUUACCACUUUGUGAUUCAUGACUGGGGUGAAGUCGUAA